GAUACAGGAGAGAUAAUAAUAAACCCAUCGAAAGGAAGAUACUGAGUAUACAAAAUUCUGACAGAGUUGCUACAUAUAUAGGCUAGAUAUUGGCAUUUACGUAUGAGAUAGAACUAAAUCACAGAAGGUUGCUCGAUGGAAUGCUAGAGAUCUGCGGCGUGCCUCCUGAGAAGUUCACAACGGCUUGCUCGAGUAUCAGCAAGCUCGACAAACUGACAUUCGAAGACAUGAAAAAAAAAGAACUGGUAUGUAGUAUGUACACAUCCAAACUCCAUUUCUCUGUUUUGUUCACUGCUUGUAUAUGUUCUUUGUGACCUUGGUGUGGAUUUAUGUGCCAUAAUCCUCAUUAUUAAUUCAUUAUGCUGCCUGUGACUGGCGCUGGAAGACUCUGCUCAGCUUAUCCCUGGAUCCUGCUCCUGUUUCUCCCACCAGGCUUGCGUUUGCAACUCAUUUCUAGCGCGCCUUCAUAAGCCUCCUGUGCAACGCUCAGUUCGAAGAUCUCUCCACGUAGGAUCUCUUCCUGACAUACUCCCUGAACAGCGAUUACCCCCUGACGCUGCCGGUUUACGUCGACUGGAGAAAGCCAUCUGAGUCCGGUGCGACCAUAUAUAUUCCGGCGUGGGUAUUCGACUGAGAGCCAAAAAGGCCUGUUGUUGGUGGAGAAACUUGAUUACCUGCAGUCGUCCAAACUGUUGCAGAAUAUUUUCUUCAGCCUUUCCAAACCCUUGAUGCACCAAGGAGGACACUUUGAUGUGCUACUGCUGCUCCUGUACGCGGUAGGUGCACUCGAUGUUCAACCUCGCCGCCGCUCGGGCACUGCUCCUGUGCUACUGACGGAAAUGACACCAAGUUGCUUCAUCGCGUGGAUUCUCGCUGAUCAGAUCCAAUUGUAAAGCUAGCACAGUUUUUUUUUUCCAACCUGAAGGUGGCAUCCAGAGAAAACUACUUUCAGAACAACUGAUCAUUUCUCUCGUUUUUAGAUACUAGCUUAAUCGAGU